UGCAGAUAAACGAACCAGGCGGACGGGCGCAGCGGCAGCCUGACUCACAGCCGCCUUAAUUAAACGGUGAGGUCAGGGGUCGUGACGAGGCUUCAGGAUGUGACACGGCUCUUUCUGCUCCACUUCCUGUCCGUCUCCUCGUGGUUCUGGAGGCCACGGCCGACCUUCUGUAAUGAGGGAGAGGAAUCCAGCGCCCAUCAUCAUCAUCAUCAUCAUCAUUUAAGAACGAGACUAGCCGGAUCUCAGCUGGACUAAUGAAGCGUUCUGAUGUUUAGGCUUUUAUUUUUUCAGAUAUUGUUUUAUGUUUAGUUCUUCUUCACUCCUCUCCUCUGUUCUGCUGCUUCACUUCAAAAUGCUUUUCCAGUUAUAAUAAAAUGUCCAGAACCUAAAGCAGCAGCAGAUCUUCCAUGUUUGUUUCCUUCUUUGUCCCGCCCUCCCAUCAUUUCUGUCCAAUAGGAGCAGAGGUCGUCAUCCGCUUUGAUCAUAAAUUAUACUCAGCUUGUAAGAAAGUGAAAGUAAACCUCACCAAACACAAAUUAAAUGAACUUUGAUCCACCAAACAGGUGAACCAGAGGACUUUCCAGAAUCCUCCGAGUUCUCAGGCGAGUUGGACGGAGCUGCAGCAGUUAAUGAGUUCAGUGGAGCCCGGAAGGUUCUGGAAGCUCUCCAUGGGACGUUCCCGUAAACAUCUCUGAUGCUUCAAACCAAAGGACUGAAUAAACGGAUCAUCACUCAGCUCAGACCUGCAGACGGUGUGAUGGUGAAUUCAGGUCUGGAUGAACGGCUCCGUCGGCACGGCAACCCUCAGCUGGCAGCAUCAGAUAUGAAUCAUGGAGGAAUGAGAUGCUGCAGCUGAGCAGAGCGCCACAAACAGAACAGAGAGUCUGAUGCUGUGACUGGACCCGGCUGGCGGUCUGACCUGAUGGAGUUAACCAGUUGGAACCGGUUCCAGUUUGGGACCGGUUCCAGUUUGGGACCGGUUCCAGUGUCUGUCCAUCAGGAAGCCUUCAGUCCAGAGGAUCUGUGGUUCUGAGCUUCAGGCUGAUCGUCUCUCAGCUUCUGGGACGAAACAGAGAAAAUAAAAGCCGACGUUCCUAAUA